UUACGGAAGGCAGCAGUGGGGAAUAUUGGACAAUGGGCGAAAGCCUGAUCCAGCAAUGCCGCGUGAGUGAUGAAGGCCUUAGGGUUGUAAAGCUCUUUUACCCGAGAUGAUAAUGACAGUAUCGGGAGAAUAAGCUCCGGCUAACUCCGUGCCAGCAGCCGCGGUAAUACGGAGGGAGCUAGCGUUGUUCGGAAUUACUGGGCGUAAAGCGCACGUAGGCGGUUUUUCAAGUCAGGGGUGAAAGCCCGGAGCUCAACUCCGGAACUGCCUCUGAAACUGGAUGACUUGAAUCUUGGAGAGGUCAGUGGAAUUCCGAGUGUAGAGGUGAAAUUCGUAGAUAUUCGGAAGAACACCAGUGGCGAAGGCGACUGACUGGACAAGUAUUGACGCUGAGGUGCGAAAGCGUGGGGAGCAAACAGGAUUAGAUACCCGGGUAGUCCC
rnacentral:rRNA from 1 species